rnacentral:rRNA from 1 species
GACGAACGCUGGCGGCGUGCUUAACACAUGCAAGUCGAACGGAAAGGCCCUGCGUUUGUGGGGUGCUCGAGUGGCGAACGGGUGAGUAACACGUGAGUAACCUGCCCUUGACUUUGGGAUAACUUCAGGAAACUGGGGCUAAUACCGGAUAGGAGCUCCUGCUGCAUGGUGGGGGUUGGAAAGUUUCGGCGGUUGGGGAUGGACUCGCGGCUUAUCAGCUUGUUGGUGGGGUAGUGGCUUACCACGGCUUUGACGGGUAGCCGGCCUGAGAGGGUGACCGGCCACAUGGGGACUGCGAUACGGACCAGACUCCUACGGGAGGCAGCAGUGGGGAACAUUGCACAAUGGGCGGAAGCCUGAUGCAGCAACGCCGCGUGCGGGAUGACGGCCUUUGGGUUGUAAACCGCUUUCGCCGGUGACGAAGCGUGAGUGACGGUAAUGGGUAAAGAAGCACCGGCUAACUACGUG